rnacentral:rRNA from 1 species
UACGUAGGGUGCAAGCGUUGUCCGGAAUUAUUGGGCGUAAAGAGCUCGUAGGCGGUCUGUCGCGUCUGCUGUGAAAUCUCAGGGCUUAACCCUGAGCUUGCAGUGGGUACGGGCAGACUAGAGUGCGGUAGGGGAGACUGGAAUUCAUGGUGUAGCAGUGAAAUGCGUAGAGAUCAUGAGGAAGACCAGUGGCGAAGGCGGGUCUCUGGACAGUUCCUGACACUGAGGCACGAAGGCCAGGGGAGCAAACGGG